AAAAAUCAUGGCAACUGGAACAGUCAGUCAGCUGGGUUUCGUGAUAUAGUUCUUGUUUUCAUGAUAUGUUGCAAUUCAUUUCUGUGAACUUGUUCUCGAAAUCAGGGACAAAAUAUCACAUCUGUUUCUGUCAUCAACAAACUCGUUACGAUUCUGAAUGCAAGAACAGAGUUCCUGUUUUUGUGAUAGUGUAAGUCCAUACGCGUGAUUUUGUGCUCGAUAACGGGAACAAAAUUCACGGCUAUGUGUAGCUGUCACUUUUAGUAACGCAUCGAUAAAGAAAAAAAAAACGGAUCAUUAGCAAACAGAAGUGCUCUGAGAACUUUCAUCUAGCAGAAGAUUCUAACUCCCACGCACGUCGUUGGCAAAAUCUUCUGGCAGACUCAUCAGAUCGCAGAAAGGAGCUCUGAGCUAAAAUUUCUUUUAAAUAACAAUCACCUAAGAUGAACAUUGAACAUUGUUUGCCUUAAUACGUUUUUGUAAAGAUUUACUGUGAAAGCUAUUGAACCAUUGAUCUGAAUAAUACUGUGAAAAUGUUUAAAAUUGAACUUCCCGUGCGUGGCAGUAUACUGUGAUCAACCACCGCUUUUCCCUAGAGACAAUCCAUCAAAGACUCAGGAGGAGCAGCCUUUGCACCUGCUUUAUGACUUCUAGGAACGGAUGAAGCCAGUAUGCCCUAUGUUUCGGCGAUCGAGGGAUUAAAAUCGUUUGUGAACACAUUUGGCUCCUUGAUGCAAGACUAUUAUGAAGAUAUUAUGGCC